rnacentral:lncRNA from 1 species
UUUUUUGUUUGUUUUUUGUUUUUUUUUUUAGAGUUGCCACAGAAGUUCUUUGAUUCUCAGACUAUGACUGGGAGCUGGCAGUUAAUGGACUUGAGCUUGUAAUUUUUUUUCUUUGUAAGCAUUCAGGUGAACUAAAAAAAAAACCACCCAACACCACAGUCUUUAUGGUCAUCUUACUAGUAUAAGGGUUAAGUGUAGUAAGUGUUUGGCUCGUGAAGCAUGCGUUUUAAGUUAGCACUUCUUGAUUCAUUGUGAUGCUCCUACAUGCCAUGGAUUACUACCAUUUGCAAGGAACUCAAGCACAAAGGCAUGAACAAACCAAUCCUCAAAUUCUGUUUUUGUGGGGUCUAUCUCCAGUUGUCACUCCAGGGUCUAUUUCUAGGUCAAUUUAGUGUUUAGGUCCAGUCAGAAGAGAAACCAUCGUCAUCAAACAGGGAAAGUUUUAACAUGGAUGGGGGAAAUGAGGGAUUACUAAGAGAACUCUGAAGAAUAAAAGAAUACCAGAUAUAAUAGAAUGACCAAAAUAACGUGAUGUAUGUAACAGUCACUAAGGCAGAGAUGGAGUACUAAGGAAGGCACCCCUCUCCCCUACCAAGGACAGUGAUAGACCCCCCCCCCCCCGCUACCGCCCCAGGGCUGAAACCUAGACCUGGUUGGAGAGCCACGGUUAGAGAAGUCACUGGUCCCCCUCCCCAAACUGCAGAACUUACUAGAACUAUAUUCUGGGGAACAUGGAGAAGGUUGUUCUUUGGGAGGGUGGUCUCAGAGGUACUGGGCUAGAACACAGCAGGAGGCCUUCUGGGGAAGAUGCAGCACAUUGCACCCUGCAGGAGCCAGGCACUGGACAGCCUCAGCACAGUAAGGGCCCAAGGCUGCAGGAGCCAAACCUGGAGGAGUUGCCCAUGCCAGAGAAGCAGUCUGUAAAAAGCCUGCCAAACAAGCAUACCUGAACCAGGAAGCAAAACCCUUUUGCUUCCUGUGGUGUUUAAUGCCUUUUACUGACAAAACCUAAUGUAUUAUGAUAUAUUAAAAAGUAGAUCUUUUGGUUUUCAUCCCCAGCUCCUGAAACCGCUCUGGAGUGAUAAAGGUGUAUCUUUUGGGUUUUGUCCUCAGUUCCUGAAAUAGCACUAGGUUGAUAAGGGUGAAAAGAACACCUUUUCGUUUAUUCCUGAUAAACCCCUUUCAGCCACACCCAGGUUUGUUAUUAAACCUACUUUUGGAAAGUCCCUAAGGAUGGGAGCUGGUUGCUAGAGGAACUGACCAUGUGAUUAGAGAGGGUUAAAACUUUAAGCCCCACCUCCUUGACCUUAGGGGAUGGAGGAGAAGGGAUGAUGAGCCCAAGCACCAGUGGCCAAGUUUAGUCAGUCAUACCUACAUAGUAAAACCUUCACCAAAAAAAAAAAAAA